AUUGAACGCUGGCGGCAGGCCUAACACAUGCAAGUCGAGCGGAUGAAGGGAGCUUGCUCCUGGAUUCAGCGGCGGACGGGUGAGUAAUGCCUAGGAAUCUGCCUGCUAGUGGGGGAUAACGUCCGGAAACGGGCGCUAAUACCGCAUACGUCCUGAGGGAGAAAGUGGGGGAUCUUCGGACCUCACGCUAUCAGAUGAGCCUAGGUCGGAUUAGCUAGUUGGUGGGGUAAAGGCCUACCAAGGCGACGAUCCGUAACUGGUCUGAGAGGAUGAUCAGUCACACUGGAACUGAGACACGGUCCAGACUCCUACGGGAGGCAGCAGUGGGGAAUAUUGGACAGUGGGCGAAAGCCUGAUCCAGCCAUGCCGCGUGUGUGAAGAAGGUCUUCGGAUUGUAAAGCACUUUAAGUUGGGAGGAAGGGCAGUAAGUUAAUACCUUGCUGUUUUGACGUUACCAACAGAAUAAGCACCGGCUAACUUCGUG
rnacentral:rRNA from 1 species